UACGUAGGGUGCAAGCGUUAAUCGGAAUUACUGGGCGUAAAGCGUGCGCAGGCGGUUUUGUAAGUCUGAUGUGAAAUCCCUGGGCUCAACCUGGGAAUUGCAUUGGAGACUGCAAGGCUAGAAUCUGGCAGAGGGGGGUAGAAUUCCACGUGGAGCAGUGAAAUGCGUAGAGAUGUGGAGGAACGCCGAUGGCGAAGGCAGCCCCCUGGGUCAAGAUUGACGCUCAUGCACGAAAGCGAGGGGAGCAAACGGG
rnacentral:rRNA from 1 species